AUUGAACGCUGGCGGCAUGCUUUACACAUGCAAGUCGAACGGUAACAGGCCUUCGGGUGCUGACGAGUGGCGAACGGGUGAGUAAUGCAUCGGAACGUACCCAGAGGUGGGGGAUAACGCAGCGAAAGCUGUGCUAAUACCGCAUGUGAUCUGAGGAUGAAAGCGGGGGACCGAGCAGCAAUGUUUGGCCUCGCGCCUUUGGAGCGGCCGAUGUCGGAUUAGCUAGUUGGUGGGGUAAAGGCCUACCAAGGCGACGAUCCGUAGCUGGUCUGAGAGGACGACCAGCCACACUGGGACUGAGACACGGCCCAGACUCCUACGGGAGGCAGCAGUGGGGAAUUUUGGACAAUGGGCGCAAGCCUGAUCCAGCAAUGCCGCGUGCGGGAAGAAGGCCUUCGGGUUGUAAAGCGCUUUUGGCAGGAACGAAGCGGUGUCCGCUAAUACCGGGCGCUAAUGACGGUACCUGCAGAAUAAGCACCGGCUAACUACGUG
rnacentral:rRNA from 1 species